rnacentral:rRNA from 1 species
AUUGAACGCUGGCGGUAUGCUUAACACAUGCAAGUCGAACGAUGAGAAAGAGCUUGCUCUUUCGAUUAGUGGCGAACGGGUGCGUAACGCGUAGGAAUCUACCUAUUAGUGGGGGACAACUUAGGGAAACUUAAGCUAAUACCGCAUACGCCCUACGGGGGAAAGAAGGGGAUCGCAAGACCUUUUGCUAAUAGAUGAGCCUGCGUAGGAUUAGCUAGUUGGUGGGGUAAAAGCUCACCAAGGCGACGAUCCUUAACUGGUUUGAGAGAAUGAUCAGUCACACUGGAACUGAGACACGGUCCAGACUCCUACGGGAGGCAGCAGUGGGGAAUAUUGGACAAUGGGCGAAAGCCUGAUCCAGCAAUACCGCGUGUGUGAAGAAGGCCUUAGGGUUGUAAAGCACUUUCAAUUGGAAGGAAAACCUCGAAGCUAAUACCUUCGAGUUUGACAUUACCUUUAGAAGAAGCACCGGCUAACUCCGUGCCAGCAGCCGCCGAAAGAC